GAUGAACGCUGGCGGCGUGCCUAAUACAUGCAAGUCGAGCGAACAGACGAGGAGCUUGCUCCUUCGACGUUAGCGGCGGACGGGUGAUUAACACGUAGGUAACCUACCUAUAAGACUGGGAUAACUUCGGGAAACCGGAUCUAAUACCGGAUAAUAUUUCGAACCGCAUGGUUCGAUAGUGAAAGAUGGCUUUGCUAUCACUUAUAGAUGGACCUGCGCCGUAUUAGCUAGUUGGUAAGGUAACGGCUUACCAAGGCAACGAUACGUAGCCGACCUGAGAGGGUGAUCAGCCAGACUGGAACUGAGACACGGUCCAGACUCCUACGGGAGGCAGCAGUAGGGAAUCUUCCGCAAUGGGCGAAAGCCUGACGGAGCAACGCCGCGUGAGUGAUGAAGGUCUUCGGAUCGUAAAACUCUGUUAGUAGGGAAGAACAAAAGUGUAAGUAACCGUGCACGUCUUGACGGUACCUAAACAGAAAGCAACGGCUAACUACGUG
rnacentral:rRNA from 1 species